rnacentral:rRNA from 1 species
AUUGAACGCUGGCGGGAGGCCUAACACAUGCAAGUCGAGCGAGAGGCGGACGGGUGAGUAAUGUAUGGGGACUGCCCGAUAGAGGGGGAUAACUCCUGGAACCGGUAGCUAAUACCGCAUACUAUCGGAUAACCCAUAUGGGAUUAGCUAGUAGGUGAGGUAAUGGCUCACCUAGGCGACGAUCCCUAGCUGGUCUGAGAGGAUGAUCAGCCACACUGGGACUGAGAAACGGCCCAGACUCCUACGGAGGCAGCAGUGGGGAAUAUUGCACAAUGGGCGCAAGCCUGAUGCAGCCAUGCCGCGUGUAUGAAGAAGGCCCUAGGGUUGUAAAGUACUUUCAGUCGGGAGGCGUUACCGACAGAAGAAGCACCGGCUAACUCCGUGCCAGCCGCCGCGGUAAUUC